UGGGGAAUAUUGCACAAUGGGUGCAAGCCUGAUGCAGCCAUGCCGCGUGUAUGAAGAAGGCCUUCGGGUUGUAAAGUACUUUCAGCGGGGAGGAAGGGAGUAAAGUUAAUACCUUUGCUCAUUGACGUUACCCGCAGAAGAAGCACCGGCUAACUCCGUGCCAGCAGCCGCGGUAAUACGGAGGGUGCAAGCGUUAAUCGGAAUUACUGGGCGUAAAGCGCACGCAGGCGGUUUGUUAAGUCAGAUGUGAAAUCCCCGGGCUCAACCUGGGAACUGCAUCUGAUACUGGCAAGCUUGAGUCUCGUAGAGGGGUGUAGAAUUCCAGGUGUAGCGGUGAAAUGCGUAGAGAUCUGGAGGAAUACCGGUGGCGAAGGCGGCCCCCUGGACGAAGACUGACGCUCAGGUGCGAAAGCGUGGGGAGCAAACAGG
rnacentral:rRNA from 1 species